AAGGUGAGGUAGAGUAAUAUGGUAUUAACUCGUCGGGGUCAUAAUCCGAAAAUUAUUGGUUCGAAUCCAUUCCACACCUU
rnacentral:tRNA from 1 species